GGGGUUGUAGCUCAGUGGUAGAGCACUUGCCUAGCAUGAAUAAGAUCCUGGGUUCAAUUCCCAGCACCA
rnacentral:tRNA from 1 species